rnacentral:rRNA from 1 species
AACGAACGCUGGCGGCAGGCUUAACACAUGCAAGUCGAACGCCCCGCAAGGGGAGUGGCAGACGGGUGAGUAACGCGUGGGAAUCUGCCCAGUUCUACGGAACAACACAGGGAAACUUGUGCUAAUACCGUAUACGCCCUACGGGGGAAAGAUUUAUCGGAAUUGGAUGAGCCCGCGUUGGAUUAGCUAGUUGGUGGGGUAAUGGCCUACCAAGGCGACGAUCCAUAGCGGGUCUGAGAGGAUGAUCAGCCACACUGGGACUGAGACACGGCCCAGACUCCUACGGGAGGCAGCAGUGGGGAAUAUUGGACAAUGGGCGCAAGCCUGAUCCAGCCAUGCCGCGUGAGUGAUGAAGGCCUUAGGGUUGUAAAGCUCUUUCAGUGGGGACGAUAAUGACGGUACCCACAGAAGAAGCCCCGGCUAACUUCGUGCCAGCCGCCGCUGUAAAAC